rnacentral:rRNA from 1 species
GGCUACGAGGACGAACGGCUGGCGGCGUGCCUAAUACAUGCAAGUCGAGCGAAUGAUAAGGAGCUUGCUCCUUGAUUAGCGGCGGACGGGUGAGUAACACGUGGGUAACCUACCCUAUAGACUGGGAUAACUUCGGGAAACCGGAGCUAAUACCGGAUAAUACUUCGAAACACAUGUUUUGAAGUUGAAAGAUGGUUUCGGCUAUCACUAUAGGAUGGACCCGCGGCGCAUUAGCUAGUUGGUGGGGUAAUGGCUCACCAAGGCAACGAUGCGUAGCCGACCUGAGAGGGUGAUCGGCCACACUGGGACUGAGACACGGCCCAGACUCCUACGGGAGGCAGCAGUAGGGAAUCUUCCACAAUGGACGAAAGUCUGAUGGAGCAACGCCGCGUGAGUGAAGAAGGAUUUCGGUUCGUAAAACUCUGUUGCAAGGGAAGAACAAGUAGCGUAGUAACUGGCGCUACCUUGACGGUACCUUGUUAGAAAGCCACGGCUAACUACGUGCCAGCCGCCGC